CAUCAGUGUUUCUUACUCUGCAGUUUCUGAUAUAAAAUGUAUAUAAAGUGUCAUUCCACUACCUUCUACAAAAGUAAUACUCUAAUGUACCGUUUUACUUGCAGAGCUGACACCAGUUUCAUCGGUUACUGUGGACUACACCUGCACCACUCAGUCUGUCAUGGUGCAUUGGUCGGCCGUGUUCGGGGCCGACUCCUACAAAGCCACGGCGAUGAGCCAUAAUGGCACGGAGCUGACGUGCAGCAGCCAGACCACCAGCUGUCUGAUCACCGAACUGAGCUGUGGCGAGACCUACGUGGUCAACGUGACGCCCAUGUCAGAGAGCUGCAAGAACAUGUUGAACUCCACCUCGGCCACUUUUGAGACUGUUCCCUGUCCUCCCAAGAACCUGGAGUUGUUGCGAGAUUGUUCCAGUGAAGUCAUUGUUUUUUCCUGGGAACACACAAACAAUACCAAUUACUACAUUGCCAAGGCAGUGGACUCUCAGGGAAUGGUCCAGGAGUGUCUGACUGAAGACAACUCCUGUUACUUCACACACACAGUGUGUGGACGACACUAUCACUUCACAGUGUACUCCGUCACAGAGGGGUGCAGAAGCGGGAUUAGCUCUACUGUUGACAUUAGCACGGGUAUGACUACUUUAUCUCUACAGCGGCAGUAGAUACACGCAU
rnacentral:lncRNA from 15 species